AUUGAACGCUGGCGGCAUGCCUUACACAUGCAAGUCGAACGGCAGCAUGGAAGAGCUUGCUCUUCUGAUGGCGAGUGGCGAACGGGUGAGUAAAGCAUCGGAACGUACCGUGUAAUGGGGGAUAACGUAGCGAAAGUUACGCUAAUACCGCAUACGACCUGAGGGUGAAAGCAGGGGAUCGCAAGACCUUGCGUUAUACGAGCGGCCGAUGUCAGAUUAGCUAGUUGGUAGGGUAAAGGCCUACCAAGGCGACGAUCUGUAGCGGGUCUGAGAGGAUGAUCCGCCACACUGGGACUGAGACACGGCCCAGACUCCUACGGGAGGCAGCAGUGGGGAAUUUUAGACAAUGGGGGAAACCCUGAUCCAGCCAUGCCGCGUGAGUGAAGAAGGCCUCGGUGUAAGCUCUUCGCCGGAGAAUACGCACAGGCUAAUACUCUGUGUGGAUGACGGUA
rnacentral:rRNA from 1 species